rnacentral:lncRNA from 1 species
UAAAUUAAUGUGGCACGUCUUUUUGUUUUUUUAAUUUUCUUUUUUUCAUUAUGUCAGCAUAUUAUUUCGUUUUGAUCAAUGCGUUGGAGUUUUGUUUCAUCCAAGGUUAAUUAUGGUGCACGACAUUAUUUACUAUAUGUACCAAUAUUACGCAAGAUCAAAUCAUUCGUCUAUUUUUAAAUGUAUAUUUGAAUAAAUGUACACCUAAUACUUACCUGUAU